AGCUGGGUGCAGUGGCAAUUUUGUAGCCAAUAAGGUUUAUCCGAGACGCAAUUAUUGCUAAUUUAAAACUUUUCCCAAUACCCCACCAUGACAACUUGAAAUAUAGUCAAAUAA
rnacentral:snRNA from 1 species